CAACAUCACUGAGAACUGUAGGAUUCAUUUUAUGGAGAAGGAAGUUUGGUAGAGAGCUCCUGCCUAUGAAAUCCCCUGACUACCACAUGCCUCACCAUCAGGCCCACCCUGCAGGAUCCUACAUUCCAUCGUCCUCCGUACUCCAAAGCGGGCUACCCUGGGAGACUCUGGAUGCGGAGGGUGUCUAGCAAGAGCGUAGGGGAUGGUUUUCACCCAGUGGCUGACAGUACAGCUCCCAUCUAGGUCCUUCCUUGGGGGCUCCACUCUCAGAUAAUGAUUCUCUUCCUUCCAGCCACCCCAUGGGACGUAUAAUGGGACAUGUUGGUCCGUCCCUUCCUUCCUGGUCUGACCCUGCCCACACCCUGGUAAACAGGCCACUUGUAUGGCCUCCUCAGUUCUCCUGCAGGGUGUGUCCUCUUCAGGGCUGAUUCAGCCACUUGUACAGUGAUAGUCACAGCAUGUUACUGCCUGCAGAAAAAUGAAAGCCUAAAUAUCCAUAUAGGCAGAAGAAUAGGGUCCCAGAACCCCUGAGAUCCUGGCGUCCUGUAGCCAGACUCUCUGGAUCACAGCUCUUCCUGAAGAUACAUGCUCUCCUUUUCAACAGCUCAGCUGACCACACUGAAGGCUGUGAAGUUCGGGAUCACAGGCUACCACCUCACCGUGAUCAGACACAAAGAAACGCCCCCGUAACGUUAAUAUGAAGGAAGAGGCAAGGAGCCGCAGGAGGGAGGCAGGGCGGAUAGAGGGUACUGGGGCUUAUAAUGUUGCUUGGCAUGUCAGGUUGAGAGAUGGGGACCUCUGAACACCUCCUCUUUGUUCAGCAAUGAGAUACCGUGGGAGGAGCCGAGAGUGGAACCAGGGAGCAACUAUCAUAAAGGCCAACGUAGCUGGGACCAACCAUAUAGACCGCAAAGGCAGAAAGUCAGUCUGGGAACCCCCACCAGUCUACUGGGGUGAGGGAGCCAAGCAGGGGGCAGCCUCCGAGGAGAGUUUGUCAGUGGCCUUCACAGGGCAUCAAACAUCCCUGACAGGCAAGGGCCCAGCAGGGAACAACUGGCACCAUUAGAUGAGGAUUAUUCUAGAAAGAUCUGUUUACAAAGAACCUUACAACAGAGAGGAAGAGGUAGGGACCACAGAGACGUGCAGGAAGAAGCUGGCGGUAACACAGCUGUCAUACCCAUGGCCCAGGUUCACCUUACCCUCUCUAGCUGCUACAUCUAUGAAGGUGCCUGUGUGGGUGCCAUCAUAUCUGGGCCAGCUAUCUGGCCUGUGGUUUCAGGUAAUGCAGAGUUGGAUGGGCAUCUAGGGGAAAGAAGGAGACAAGAAGGGCAUUUGUCUUCCAGGCUUCUUCCUUGCCAUUGGCACCUGACACUGCCCUGACCAAAUGCUACUCCCCUCUCCAGGAAGCCAAGGGGAGGUGACCCUCUCCAUUCUGGAUCCCACCUUCCGCUGCUUCCUUCACCUCUUCCAUCCAGGAGAGGGUGGUCUCAGGGGUUGGGCCACCUAGUGACCUACGUUGUCCCCUGCAAAUACACUACCAUCCAUUUCUGGCCACACUGAUUUAGACUGCACACAAGCCCCGCCCCUCCUAACCCUUCUUCCAUAUCUUCUGGGAAAGCGCGCCACACAGCCCACCAAGGCUUCUGGCAUCUAACAGUGCAAGCCCAGCAACGCCAGAAGCUGCCUGCCCAGGACACUUUGGAGCUGUACGAGAGCUCCCUGAGGCCCCCAGCUCCUCAUUCGCCAGGGGAAGAGGAGACUGCCUCUCUGCCACAAUCUGUGAAGCUUCUGGGAGUUCAUAGGUUCAGUCCGUAGUCACAGUGGGCACAGUCCUCACAGAUAACCCUAGAGUCACACACGGCAGCUUGUCACAGCAACAAGAAAAGGGCAGGGACAGGGGAUGCUGACCAUCACAGCCUGUGCAAAGCCCUGACUGUGCACACUCCCCUUCCUGGCAGCCUGACCAUCUCCCACUGACCUCCAGAGGCAUCUUCAGAAAAG